rnacentral:rRNA from 1 species
UAGAUACCCCAAUAUGCUUAGCCAUAAAUUUCGACACUUCCCCUCACUAAAGUGUCCGCCUGAGAACUACGAGCACAAACGCUUAAAACUCUAAGGACUUGGCGGUGCCUCAAACCCACCUAGAGGAGCCUGUUCUGUAAUCGAUAAUCCACGAUACACCCGACCGCCCUUCGCCCAAUUCAGCCUACAUACCGCCGUCGCCAGUUCACCUAAUCUGAAAGAGCAACAGUGAACACAAUAGCCCCAACCACGCUAAUAAGACAGGUCAAGGUAUAGCCCACAGGACGGAAGAAAUGGGCUACAUUUUCUAGCUUAGGAAACAACGAAAAGAGGGAUGAAACUUCCCCCUAGAAGGCGGAUUUAGCAGUAAAGUUGGACUAUAAUACCACCUUAAAGACGGCCCUGAGGCACGUACAUACCGCCCGUCACCCUCCUCGUAAGCUAUAUGCGCAAGUAAUUAACACCAACUCUCAGCCAAAGAUGAGGUAAGUCGUAACAAGGAAAGUGUACA